GACGAACGCUGGCGGCGUGCUUAACACAUGCAAGUCGAACGGAAAGGCCCUGCUUUUGUGGGGUGCUCGAGUGGCGAACGGGUGAGUAACACGUGAGUAACCUGCCCUUGACUUUGGGAUAACUUCAGGAAACUGGGGCUAAUACCGGAUAGGAGCUCCUGCUGCAUGGUGGGGGUUGGAAAGUUUCGGCGGUUGGGGAUGGACUCGCGGCUUAUCAGCUUGUUGGUGGGGUAGUGGCUUACCAAGGCUUUGACGGGUAGCCGGCCUGAGAGGGUGACCGGCCACAUUGGGACUGAGAUACGGCCCAGACUCCUACGGGAGGCAGCAGUGGGGAAUAUUGCACAAUGGGCGGAAGCCUGAUGCAGCAACGCCGCGUGCGGGAUGACGGCCUUCGGGUUGUAAACCGCUUUCGCCUGUGACGAGGCGUAAGUGACGGUAAUGGGUAAAGAAGCACCGGCUAACUACGUG
rnacentral:rRNA from 1 species